GCAAGUACUAUCAAGUACUAUCGGGGAGUUUCAUAAGGCGAAUUUCGAGCGUUACAUUUGUCUGCAUAUCCUUUUUGAUUCAAGAAUUGAAGUCGAGCAUGCAGUCGAGAAUGAAGUCGAGCAUAUUAGCCAAUCCGUGUAACAUUUUGCACAACUGAGCUUUAUAUAAGGACUAGAAAUAAAAUCUAGUAUCAAACACUUGAGUGAAGUGUCAAUAGUCUUUCACCAGAUGCCAUGGGGCCUACUGAUGCACUGAGCAUUCAGAAGAGGAUCUACUCACUCACCACUGCCAGUUCAGAGCAACGAGAUUUAUACCUGUUAUAUGAAGUCGUUGGUUCAGAGUGCUACUGACAUCUGGGCGCCUAAGUAAUAUUUAUUUCUAUAGCUUCAAUAACUUAUUUGUUCUGAGUAAAGAGUGCUUCGGUUAUUAUAGUGAAGUUUGAACCACAUUC